UAUCACGUGGCAAAGGCUGAGCUGGCUGUAGGUAUACAGCAGGCACUCGGCAAGUCUUAGUUUUGGUGAAUGGUGUUUCCACAUUGGGUCAGCACAUAUGGACCCAAAACAAAGUGUGGGUCAGAAGCUUCUUGAGAAUCAGAACGCCACCUUCACUGCCAGCAAAGCUUCCUGGAUGAGGUUCCGCCCCAGCAACUUUGUAAUCUAGCGUGUUUGAAGUGUCUAAAGACUCCCAGCAUAAUGAAUGGAGAGAAGUGGAUGCAAGCUCCAUUUUGCUCACAAAGAUGUUACAGGACCAACAGGUUCGUAUGCCCAUUGCACAGUAACAGACCAACUACACUGGGACAGCAGAGUUUGCAGCAGAGAAAGAGUUUAAUGAUCACAAGGCUCCAAGAAAGGAGAUGGAAGGAGACCCUCAAAUCCAUCACCCUGAGGAGCU
rnacentral:lncRNA from 1 species